CCUCCGCCUCCCAGGUUCAAGUGAUUCUCCUGCCUCAGCUUCCCAAGUAGCUGGGAUUACAGGACAAUGAAUAUGGUGGAUUGUAAUGGAUAAUACUGUGUCUACUUGAUUGGAUUGAAGGAUGCAAAGUAUUGAUCCAGGGUGUGUCCAUGAGGGUGUUGCCCAAGGAGAUUAACAUGUGCGUCAGUGGACUGGGGAAGGCAGACCCACCCUCAAUCUGUGUGGGCACCAUCUAGUCAGCUACCAGUAUGACCAGAAUAAAAGCAAGUAGAAGAACAUGAGAGAUCAGACUGGCUUAGCUUCCCAGCCUACAUCUUUCUCCUGUGCUGGAUGUUUGCUGCCCUCGAACAUCGGACUCCCAGGUUCUUCAGCUUUGGGACUCAGACUGACUUUUUUGCUCCUCAGCUUGAAGACGGUUUAUUGUGGGACCCUGUGACUGUGUCUGGAGGCUAGAAGGUUGAAAUCAAGGUAUUAGCAGAGCCAUGUUUCCUAUGAAGGCUGAAGGUUAAUGGCUUUGUUUGGUAGAACAUAACCUUCAUCUUCUUUCUGAAUAAGAAUACAUGGCGUGAAUACAAGGAAAGGAACAACAGACACUGGGUCUGUUUGAGAGUGGGGGUCACGAGGAGUGAGAGGAGCAGAAAAAAUGACUAUUGGAUACUAGGCUUAAUACU